rnacentral:rRNA from 1 species
AUUGAACGCUGGCGGCAUGCCUUACACAUGCAAGUCGAACGGCAGCGACGGGACGCUUGCUCCUGGUGGCGAGUGGCGAACGGGUGAGUAAUACAUCGGAACGUACCCUGAAGUGGGGGAUAACGUAGCGAAAGUUACGCUAAUACCGCAUAUUCUGUGAGCAGGAAAGAGGGGGAUCGCAAGACCUCUUGCUUUAGGAGCGGCCGAUGUCGGAUUAGCUAGUUGGUGAGGUAAAGGCUCACCAAGGCGACGAUCCGUAGCGGGUCUGAGAGGAUGAUCCGCCACACUGGGACUGAGACACGGCCCAGACUCCUACGGGAGGCAGCAGUGGGGAAUUUUGGACAAUGGGCGCAAGCCUGAUCCAGCCAUGCCGCGUGAGUGAAGAAGGCCUGGUGUAAG